CAUGUACUCCCUCCGUCCGAAAAUACUUGUCAUCAAAAUGGAUAAAAAGGGAUGUAUCUAGAACUAAAAUACAUCUAGAUUCAUCUCCUUUUAUUCAUUUUGAUGACAAGUAUUUCCGGACGGAAGGGGUAUGAA
rfam:Triticum aestivum genome assembly, contig: Triticum_aestivum_CS42_TGACv1_scaffold_064334_1DL